CCUCCAACCCCUGUGACAUACCUAUACGUUGCCUCGGCGGAUCAGCCCGCGCCCCGUAAAAAGGGACGGCCCGCCCGAGGACCCCUAAACUCUGUUUUUAGUGGAACUUCUGAGUAAAACAAACAAAUAAAUCAAAACUUUCAACAACGGAUCUCUUGGUUCUGGCAUCGAUGAAGAACGCAGCAAAAUGCGAUAAGUAAUGUGAAUUGCAGAAUUCAGUGAAUCAUCGAAUCUUUGAACGCACAUUGCGCCCGCCAGUAUUCUGGCGGGCAUGCCUGUUCGAGCGUCAUUUCAACCCUCAAGCUCAGCUUGGUGUUGGGACUCGCGGUAACCCGCGUUCCCCAAAUCGAUUGGCGGUCACGUCGAGCUUCCAUAGCGUAGUAAUCAUACACCUCGUUACUGGUAAUCGUCGCGGCCACGCCGUAAAACCCCAACUUCUGAAUGUUGACCUCGGAUCAGGUAGGAAUACCCGCUGAACUUAAGCAUAUCAAUAAGCGGAGGA
rnacentral:rRNA from 1 species